rnacentral:rRNA from 1 species
AUUGAACGCUGGCGGCAGGCCUAACACAUGCAAGUCGAGCGAGCGGCGGACGGGUGAGUAAUGUAUGGGGACUGCCCGAUAGAGGGGGAUAACUACUGGAAACGGUGGCUAAUACCGCAUACUAUCGGAUAACCCAUAUGGGAUUAGCUAGUAGGUGGGGUAAAGGCUCACCUAGGCGACGAUCUCUAGCUGGUCUGAGAGGAUGAUCAGCCACACUGGGACUGAGACACGGUCCAGACUCCUACGGAGGCAGCAGUAGGGAAUAUUCGACAAUGGACGAAAGUCUGAUGCAGCAAUGCCGCGUGAAUGAAGAAGGCUUUAGGGUCGUAAAACACUGUCAUUAGAGAAGCGGUAUCCACAGAAGAAGCCACGGCUAACUACGUGCCAGCAGCCGCGGUAAUAC